GCAAAAACACCUAGAAGACUAUUUGUUUGCUCUGGUUUAGAGUUGUGACUUGUUCAUUGCAGGUGUCUGUCUCCAUAGGUUGUAAAAAUGGCCAAGGGGGCUGGUGUUCAGCUGAACGGGUCAUUCUAUGACAGUCUAGUCUGAGACAGAGGUACCACAAGACUGGAAGGGAAUUUCUGAGUCACCAGCUCCAGCAGGUUCAUCUCCUGUUAUAAAUCAAUUAACCUCUCACUAGAACUUCCAGGUUGAAAAAAGUGGAAGGUGUUCUCCCUCAAGCCUCCUAACAACCUGUUCAGUGCUUUACCAUGCUGUUUGGAAAUAAUCUAAUCUGAGCAAAUGUAUUCAUGGUCCAUUCAUACCAGCGUCAAAGGAAUUCUGCAGCAUAAACAGAACAGUCCAGUUAAUCUGCCCUGGGUUUAGCUCAUCUGAAUUCAUCUCCAUGAGCACAGGUAACCAGAAGUUUAUGAUCUGCCUGAUGGGACCUCCAGAGGACUACAGUAUUUAUUCUUCUCUCUCUCUCUGUGGGAAGGGAUAGAUUCUAGAUUUAAAGUUGCAUUUUUCACAGUCUCAUCAUAUUGGCGGACAUAUUUCCUGUGUGUCAUACUCCUCCCUGAAAUUCAUCUGUAGUUUCCAAAUAUAAGGUCCCAGUUUACAAAUAAAUUCUCAGAACUGACUCUGUCUACAUGGCACUGCAAUUUCUACUAUUAACCUACUGUUCAGUGGUUCCUCUUCAGUCUCCAUGGCCAUUCAGUUUUCCUAUAUUAUAUCCUGAACCUGCUUUAUAUAGCUAACUUUGAAUUUCAGCUCACCAGCAGAUUAGUACACCCUGUUUUUUUGCAUCAUCUUCCUUUUUGUCUUGAAAGCAUUCCUGAGAGAUAACUAUUUUCCAGCCUCAACCUUUUAUUAUUAUGCAAUGAAGAUCAGAUUCCCUGUUAGUUUUUCACAAUAGGUAUCACUUUACUGUGUGACUAUUCUUACUGAUUUCAUCUAAAUAACUCACAGAAUAAGAUAUUGCUUGCAAAGAAUGGAUCUGCAUUUCACCUGGAAUGUAUGAAUUACAAAGGACAUUUAGUUUACAGGCUAAGUAAGAAUUUACCAAGUACCUGCAGGAUUAUUCUUUCUGUUAUGCACUUCUGUUUAUAAACCGGUCUUUGAUCAGAAAAAGUAUAGUCUUCUCUAUAAAUACACAGAAAAAAAUAAAGAGGCUGAGAUCAUGUUUCCCCGUAAGCUAAAGCUUUCAAGAAGCAUUAUUGGAACAAGGAACAGCUACUUUUUUUUUUGUUUUGUUUUUCAUAGAAAAAAAGACAAAGGAUUUAUGAUGUGUGUAACUGUGUUAGAAGCUGAUCUGAAUUCAUUUAACCUGGGGCAUCUAACAAUAAUGUAGUUGAAAUAAUUUUAAUUAUUAUCAUUCUUAUUGAAGACAGUUGAAAACUUUUUUCAUUAAAAUCUGUGGGUUGUUAAAUGAACUAAGCCAGGCAUCUUAAAACAAAAUAGCAUUAAAACUGAAUAUGCCAUACAGAGAUGCAACAUAGAUUGUAUUUACAGUUUUUUUGACAUUAUGCUAUAAUUCAGUGUCAAAUACUUAUUUAUAUCACCUGAUCAAGUGUUUCAUGAUUGGCAAGGUUUGCACAGUGUCUUUUAGCUUGGUUGGGAGGAAGGCAUGUAGCAUCACUGCGCACACUUGAAAAGAAAGACUGUAGCACCCACCAUUUUCAGUGCAGACACUCCUGUCUUUUGUUUACUUAGCAGACCUUGCCAUCAGAGAGAUCAUUUGUUCUGGCUGCUGUUUUAACUUGUGCUUUCCUGUAUGAUGCAGGUAGAUACCUGCAUCAUAAACUUCUUGUUUCCCUUGGCAGCAGUUUUGUUGCCUCUUACUGAGCCUUCAGCAUGGUCUGGCUGCUCCUUGGGGGCCAGGAGCAGAGGGGCAUUACCAGGGGCAGCAGGGCAGCAGGACAUGGUCACUGGCUCAGCCAGCUGUCCACACAAAGCUGGGCAAGUCCCUAGCAUGAGGUAGGUCUGACAUGAAUGCCAGAGGUUGGCUUUGGGGUCAGGUUCAGCAGGUACAUGGCAAGGUACAGGCAUGGCUGUGGCCACUGCAGUGUGGCCCUGACAGUGCCUUGGGGUGCAAGAUUCAGCUUAAAAACAGAUCCUGGAAAAGGAGGCUGAUUCCUUGCUGAGGCGUCUUAGCAGACCUGUUCAGGGGAGCCUCUGCUGAGGCUUUUUAGUAGAGCUUUCAGCAACAGCUCUCUUCAAGGCCAGGUACCUGCAGCAUUAGCUAAGUUGGCCCAGACAAAUCCCUGGGAGUGCGGUGAUGUUCUCAGGGGGCUGAUAUUCAGUACCACUGUAUACAUUGGCUAUCAUAGAAAAAAUGUUACUUUUCAGUGUGAAAAAAUGCCCCCCAGAUGGAAAAUAAGUGAUUAUGUUAUUCACUGAAAUUAGGAAAAUAUGAUUGCUGCGUGACAUUGAGGCUGAGGAGAUUAAUUGGUUCCCAACCAACAAUUCUCCUCUUUGAGAUGGACCCAAAGAAAUAACAGCAAAUAGAAACAUUGCAAUUUAGCCACCAGCAAACUCUGGAGGUUUCAUUACUUCCCCUAAUUUUUGGGGAAAUAAUUUUUUACAUUUACAAUAGUGUAAGCAUCUUAAUGUUAACUUAGGUCUUGUAGUUGCAGGAUUUCCUCAAAUAUCAGAUAGCCACAAAGGAGGUGACAACAGACUGAUGUGAUAAAUUGAAGAGAAUUACUAAAAGCACAACAGUUCACCACAAAGAAAACAACAAGGGGGCCAAGAUACAAACAGAGAAGUACUCUCACCUGUUUUCAGUUUUCUACUAUGAAAGGACGCUAUUUAUUAAACAGCGGUGAGUUGAGAAGGGGGUUGGAACUGCAAGUAAGGGAACUGCCUCUGGCUUUUUCAUUCCUGCUGUUUUGAGAGAAAAGGAACGUAGUUUCCACUAUUUGUAAAUAAAUAGGACAGCAUCAAAGGUAUGUGGCUCCACCUGUUCCCCCUCCUAACAGAAAUAAGCUGCAGAACCCUGAAUGUUGGGCAAAUGCUGGACUGAACAGGGGCAGCAACAUUUGUACGUCCUGCCUUGGCAUCCAUGUACUUUUUCCAUGUACUGUACUUGAAAGAAAUGUAACUGUUCUAAGUCAAAGAAUGUUUGAUCACAACUUUCUCUGCCUCUUUCUAAGCCUGCUGCUUAUGUUUAGUCUUGGAUUAUUUUGUAUAGGAAAAAACAAUUCUUUUAUACCACUCCUCCAGUCUUUAAAUAUUUGCAUUCCUAGUAAGACAGAAUGUCUUUGUGAGGAAUCCUACCAAAAGCAUAUGUAUGAGCUCAGGUCUGUUUUACAUUUCCAAAUUAAGACUCCUCCCAAACAUUCAGGAGGAAGAAAGAUGGCUGCAGAAAUAUUUAAAUGACAAAAUCACAAAUUAAUAGAUUAAUGUGCAAUUAGAACUGGCAAUUAAAAAAAAAAAAGUAAAUGUUUUCUCCACUACUAGACAGAUGAAGUGCAAAAUAUUUUUAAAAGAAAUGGAAUCACUUUGCUGUAAGCAUAAAAAGAACUGACAUAAAGUUUCAUGAAAAAACAUGACACUUUUUAUAAAAAGUAGAGAAACUUCCCUAAAAGAAAGAACCUUUGGAUAUUUGCUAUUAGAUAAAUAUUCCUAUCGAUAUUCCUAUUGAUAAAUAAUUAACUAAAUUAAAUGCUGUAUAGAAUACACUUUGUUCCCAUGAGGAAUGUAUUUUGACCAUGCUGUGUUGUCACUAUUUUCUUUUGCUUGGCUACAUCUCACCUAACUUUAUAUGUUUUGAGACUUCAGUAGCUGCUCUGAAAAAGUCGCUACAUUUCCCUUGUUAGUUGUCUGGAAAGGAGUCAGCAUCUCUGAAGAGCAUUUCUGUUCACCAUCUUUCCUUCUUACUCUUUGGUCUAAUUCAGUUGUUGUAUGGAUUGGCUACCUGGGUGGUAGUGACUCAAAUUUUGAAUUUACCAGCUAGACAUGAGAUAAGCAAAUAAAAUAUCAAGAAUUAUGCUGCUCCUUACUGGCUGAUCAAAUGAAUGGCCUUGGUGAAAUUUAUCGUAUUGUGAUUAUUAGGAUAUAUUUUGCUAUAUCUUUUUCUUCACUUUCACUAGUAUUAACCUGAACUACAUGCAUACAGAGGAAAAUGCACACUUGUCUUGCUCAAGCGUCAAUUUGGUGUACUUGAAAAGUACUUGGUUUUUAAAUAUAAAAUUCCUGUUUCUAAAGCAUUGUUAUUCUUGUUUAGAGGAAGAAACACAGCGUAAGAUGUUCUUGUUUUAUAAUUGGACAUUUUUUCUAGUAUUUCUUUCUCUGAGACCCUUGUUUUCCUUGACUUCUUGUUCUCUUCUCAAAUGCGUAUGAUAAUCUCACUUUGCUCUCCUACUGCUACUGUUUUCAAGUGGCUGCAGUUAUAAGUAGUUAACCUGCUGAGACAUAGUUUAUUUAAUACCUGAAGCUGUCUUAGGGACCAGAUGUUUGUACAGAAUACAAACAAUUGCCAAUGGGCAAAUGGAUCUGGAAGAAAUAAGGACCUAGCCAAACCUUCAACAGGUGAGAGUGUUGAGGGGUUUUUACAUACUGCAAAUAGUGACCACACAUGUCCAGGCUUUGUGUAAAGUUGGGAAUUAAAAAAUAUAUAUAUAUAUAUAUUGUGAUUGCUCAGUAAUUUUGUUGUUUAGGUUCCUUAUAAAACAGAGGAAUAGACAUAAGCAAACUUUAACAUUUCUAUUAUUUGGGAAUAGGCUUUUUCGUAACAUGAGAAGGAAAAACAAGAAGAGGGAAUAAGCAUCCUGUACCUGAAAUGUCUGAGUUUUCAGUUUCAGUUGGCUGCCCAGAUCUGGGAAUAUUUUAAAAGUUUUGUUUCCAGUUUGAGGUCACCAUUCUGGCUUGCUUUGAAUGGCAGAACCUGCUCUGUCCUCAGGGUCAUUCUUGUUCGUUAGAUACUUUUUGACAGUUGCCUCAAUUCAGGAGGGAAAUGGGGAGAGCUCAAGUAGUCUGCCUUCCUACCUGGGCCAAAUCAUGUUUCCAGAUCAAAUCAGGGCAGAAAUGUCUGUACAUGAGCUUGUGCAAUUAAAGCGUGCAUUUGCUAACAAGGCAUUUUUUGCAGUGUUUGAUUCCAGUGAACAUUUCAUCCCAUUGCGCUACUGAGAUCAGAAUUGGGUAUUUCAACAUUUCAAAACCUGUAAAUGAAGCUCUAAUUAUCAUCAGAUCAAUUUAAAAGUAAUGAUGCUUUAAAGAUUUUCAUUCAUGUUUUUUUGUUGACUGAUUGCUAAACUGUCUAGAUAAAUUUGAACAUGUAUUAAAACUUUUCUCCAUAUCUGUGAAGCAUAGAAGCUUUUCAUUUUUAAAAUGAAAGACUAGAUUCCAGAGUGUUGCGAUUACUUCAGGAAGGAUGACUAUAAGAAAAAAUUACAAAGAUGAGACAGAGAUAUUAUAGAGAGUAAAAUGCCAAUCAUGGUUGGAUUUGGAUUGUUAAAAGGUAUAUAUUCUUCACAGGAAAAAAAAAAAAAGGAAAAAAAAAGAAAAAAAGAAAAAAAAAGAAAAAUAUUAAGUUACUGUGUUAACUCUAGGAAUUAAUGAUGUCAUAGAUGUUUAAAAAGUAGAAAAUAACUGUAUAGACAAAACAAUCUGCUUAAGUAAAAAAUUGCUUUGAUGAAGAAUUCUAAAAAACAUUCUAAGGCUUAGAGGUGUUAUGUAAUAUCCAAGGACUGGAUGGGAACCGGAAUGGAGAUCUCUGAAAUAUAGCUAGAAAGAAAUACUGUUAGAAUGUUUAAUGGUAGAAGGUUUAAACUUCCCACAUAUAAACUAGAGAACAGAGAGAAUGAAAGUGAAUGAUAUCAUCAAGGUAUAUCUAGAAAUGUUGACUCGAAGAUUUAUUCACAUAAAUACUACAUGAGUAAGACAUGGUGUUUAAGGCUGAGUUUUUAAAGCCUAUGAGAAUGUUAUAUGAAGACUGAUUUUAGAAUACAAUCUCGGACUGAGUAAUAAAAUGUUGGCCUUGCUCUAUGCAAAUUUACAUGAGUAAAACUAGCUUUUUUCUAAGAUUCUGAGUCUCAAAGGAACUUAAUUUAAAUAUUUAAAUAGUAGAGUACAGGUUUUCUAAUAUGCUAUUAGUUUGGAAUUUCCUUAAAUCAAAGUUGCAAAAUGUCUGCAGAAUUUGUAUCUCAAGUAAAGAAGAAACCUGCAGGUGAGGGUUCUAUUUCUAACAGGCUUAAGCACCAUCUCUGAAAAGGCACAAGGAACAAGCAGAAGUAGAAAAAGGGAUAGAAUGAGACAGCAAAUAUCUUAAAGCUCAGGCAGGAGACAAUUGAGUCUUGUCACAGGUCAGACUAGGUUUGACACAAUAAACAGAUUUUUUUUUUUAAGUUGUUUAAAUUAAAAGAAGAGCACAGUACUGGGUCUUGAAAGGAUGACAGUAGCAUCUCAACUUAUUAUUAUUUUUACCAUGGCAAAUGCUUAGAUUAUUCUUGGAAGGAUGAUGUUGAAGCAGGUGGACCUUCUCUCUGACCUGUUAUAUUUUUUACUAUGUUUCUACGAGGGAAAAGAGGUGGGAAAUUUUACACAGUAAGCACUGUAUUAAGGUUAAAUAAGAUGUAGUGGUUUCUUCCUGCCAUCUUCCUCAGAUGCUUCAGUUAAAUAAGUACCAUGGUACUGGCUGAAGAAAUGAAGGGAGGGGAAAUUAUAGGCAUGUGGAUAAAAGCAAACAAACAAAAAAAACCCACCACCACCACCAACAAAAAACCAAAACCAAACCAACCAAACAAAACCAAACCAAACAAAAAACCCCAAUAAACUCCAAACCUCGAGUAGAAGCCUCACUCAGGAAAUGCAAUAAGGAGAGAGGUAUGAAUGUCUAAGGAAGAUAAGGAGGAGAAGACUGGUUGUGUCGAAGAGGAUGCAUGAAUACAGGGAGUGAUUACCACCAGUGUCCCUAAAGAAUGAUUUUGGGUGCUUUUUGACAAUUUAUUAAAGCUGUAGGCAGAAAUUGUAGGAGUCUACCGGUUAAAUAUUCAGUCUGAAAAGCAAAGAAAAGCUUGUAAAAAUGUGAGUAGUGAGGUUCUUCACCGUUUAGUAGGAACAAGCAAGAAGAGUGAUUUUUAAGACAGAGACAGUAAACUCUUCAAAGACAUAUCAUGUGAAGUAAUUGCCUGCAAUAACAAACUGUUGUCCUCAACAACUGAGGAGUUCCCUCCCAGCCUCAUGUUUCUAGUCUAAAAGCUAAAAAUCAAUACUGAUCUUAGGAGAUGCAUGGUAGUCAGAUUCCCAUUCAAGGAAUCUCUUUCAAAUCAGUAGAAGUUUCAGAACAGGAAAAAAAAAAAAAAAAAAAAAAACAGAAACCCUUUCUAGGACUGCAAACUGCCUCACUAAUUUGUUGUAAUUAGUUACAAGGACCUGACAUCCCUUGUAGUGAAAUCCCUGGAGAGCUCCUGGCUGCAGACAGCUGCCCUGUCUCUCACUCUAGCACACAGACCAGAACCUUAGCCAAAAUAAAUCACCAUGAAGUAUCCUCAAAGUUCUCAUAUUAAU